rnacentral:rRNA from 1 species
UACGUAGGGGGCAAGCGUUGUCCGGAUUUAUUGGGCGUAAAGAGCGUGUAGGCGGCCAUGUAGGUCCGUUGUGAAAACUCGAGGCUCAACCUCGAGACGCCGAUGGAAACCAUGUGGCUAGAGUCCGGAAGAGGAGAAUGGAAUUCCUGGUGUAGCGGUGAAAUGCGCAGAUAUCAGGAAGAACACCCGUGGCGAAGGCGGUUCUCUGGGACGGUACUGACGCUGAGACGCGAAAGCGUGGGGAGCGAACAGG